AAACGUAGGUGGCGAGCGUUGUCCGGAAUCACUGGGUGUAAAGGGCGUGUAGGCGGGGGUGCAAGUCAGGUGUGAAUGACCACGGCUCAACCGUGGGGUUGCACUUGAAACUGUAUCUCUUGAGUAUUGGAGAGGGAAGCGGAAUUCCUAGUGUAGCGGUGAAAUGCGUAGAGAUUAGGAGGAACACCAGUGGCGAAGGCGGCUACCUGGCCAAAUACUGACGCUGAGGCGCGAAAGCGUGGGGAGCAAACAGGAUUAGAUCCCCUGGUAGUCCACGCCGUAAACGAUGGAUACUAGGUGUAGGUGGUAGUAAACCAUCUGUGCCGGAGUUAACACAAUAAGUAUCCCACCUGGGGAGUACGGCCGCAAGGUUGAA
rnacentral:rRNA from 1 species